GGCUCGGUAGCAGAGGGUCUGCAUCUGCUUUCCAUUCAAGAUGUAGAUGCGUGAAAAUGUUAAUGUAGACAUAGCCUGUUCGACUCAGGCCCGAGCCA